UUGAAAGGGAAACGAUUGAAGUCAGUCAUGCUAGCGGGGAACCAACUUUGAUGGUGUGUGAGUGUGGGUUCGCUCGCGUACUUUCCGGUGCACUUCCUCACUCGGCAGGUUAGCAUCAAUUUCGGUUAUCAUAAAAAAUUUGAGGGAAUGUGGCUUUUCUUCGGAAAAGUGUUGUAGACCUUGAUCUAUGUGGUGACCGGGAUUGAGGAUUGCAGCGGAUACCCUUGUGGCUGGUCACCUGGCUUCUGACGGUUACCCCGCUCUCGACAGCUCGCUGACGUUAGUGGACUCGAUUGUCUAGAUGUCAGAGUGAAUCAUUUUCGUUAAGGAUGUUGACGUA
rnacentral:rRNA from 1 species